CAGCCAGCAGCCCCCUUCCCCACGGCUCCAUCCCCCUGCGCAGAGCAAGGCCUUACCGAACGGGAGUCCCGGGGUGCCGGGCAGGUUCCCCGGGCUCUCCGGGCGGGUCGGGGCACCCCCAGCCCCCCUCUCUCCCCCAGCGGCCGCCGGUGGCCCCGAGCCCGGCACCAUUCCCGCGGCGCUGAAAGCCCGACACGGACCGGCCCCGGCCCCGGCCCCGGGCCACUCACCGGGGCUGCGGGGCGCUCAUGGCAGCGCUGCCCCGGCACCGGCACCGGCGCUGCCGCCGCGUCCCGGCGUCGCCAGGAGACGGAGGGAGGGAGGGAUGGAGGGACGGAUGAGAGGAAGGGAGAGACGGGAGAAAGGGAGGGAGAGACACACAAGAGGGAGGGAGAAACGGGAGGGGGGCGGUGCUCCGCCCGCCGCCCCAGAAUCACAGAACGCCAGAAUUGUUGGGGUUGGAAGGGACAGCCAUUCCUCCUGAUGCAUCUGUGCCAAAAUGUUAAGGUCUUCCUCACGUUGCAGUAGAACUUCUGUAGUGCUUUAGUUCAUGGCCAUUGCUCCUCAUCGUGUCAUUGGGCACCACUGAACAGAGCCUGGCACCAUUCUGUGACACCCCUCGGAAAUAUUUGCAUGGAUUGGUGAGAUCCCCUCUCAGCUGUCUCUUUUCCACACCAAGCAUGCCCACCUUGGUCAGUCUCUCGGCCUUACAGAGAUGCUUCAGAGGCAAUACGCCUCACCAUCUCUGUGACCUUCUCCUGGACCCCCUCCCGCAGCUUCUUGUCUGUCUGGUGCUGAGGAGCCCGGAACUGGCCACAGGACUGCAGCUGGGUGGGGCUGGGGGACACUGGCAGGAGAGGCAAAGGAAAGUGAAGAAACAGAAAGGAAAGAUGGAAAAAGGAAAAAAAUAAAGGAAGGGGGGGGGAGAUAUAAGAAGAAAAAGGAAAGGAAAAAAGUUUAUAAUAGAAGUAUGGAGAAGGCAUUUUCACACAACACAGAUCCAGGAACAUCAAAAUAUAUGAUGAGGUGACAAGAUGCACUUCCAAUAUUAAUCCUGGUUUCCAUCUCUCAAUCCAGAUGACAGGAAGCACCGAAGUGUGCAUUGGCAACAGACACCCGAUUUACUGAAAUAAAGGAGACACAACCACCCUUCCAUGCUCGUUUUUCCCUUCUUCCUGCAGUUGUUGAGAGUCCCAUUUGAAGUACAAACGCACAAGAUGCCAAAGUCAGCACAAAUUGAGCCUUCAACCCUUCCAACCACCCUUGGCAGCACCAAGCAGGCUGCGCCUGGGAACCACUGCCUCCAAAACCCCAUCCAGUCAAAUCAGAAGAUUCUCAACAAACUGAGAGAAUUAUUCCACCAAAUUCAAAGAUCUGUGGCCACCACUCUCUUCCUCAUCCUCUUCUGCACUGCCAAGGGGUAGCAUGUCCCAAAAAGAGAGCGACUCUCCAGGAUGACAUUCUCUAGGCUAGUGGCUUGCACAAAUCAGACAUACCUGAGCCUUUGUCAUUAGCUCUUUUCACAUUGCUUCUUCCCAAAUUAAAAAAAAUUCCUUCCAUUUAUACAAUACAUUGGAAUCUGACAGAAGAAUAAACGUUAUAUGAUAUUCCCAACAAGUCGGUCCCAGUCCUGCUGUGCCAUUCUGCCACGCCACCUGGCAGAGAGCAGCGAUAAUGUGGUAUCACAGAACUGCUCUGACACCUUCUGGUGACAAACUCCACUACAACCACGGCCCUUGGGACAACAACCAGAGACUUGCUCUGAAUUUCUCCUCUAAACACCAUCCACGAUGCAGUGGCAGCACUCAGCAAGAAAGGAGCCACUGCAAACCAUCAGCCUCUCAUUCAUGUCAUAGACCCCUACUAAAUUACGACUGAAUUAAAAAUAAUUUAAUAUGUGAACACAAUAUAGAGGAAAGGUAUAUAGUUUAUAUGCACAUCAUCUCCACAAUCAUAUCUGUCAUUACUUUUAACCUCUGUUUAAUACCUUGAUAUCAAGAGGUGUUUUACUUUCUCUAACAGUUGUCAAGAGGAGUAGCAGAUUCCCAACAUGACACCACUGCUCAAGCUGCAUUCUGCUUGAGACAACAGGAACAGUCAGCACCUUUCACCUGAUAAUCAGCUGAGACACUAGCUACACACACCACUUACACCAGGUGAACCACUUAAAUCACAUAAAAAACACUGCUCCCGACUCCUGUGGCAAGUGCUACAAACAAGGAAACCAGCUUCCUUGUCCUGGGGGAGCCUGGAGGGAGGGAGGACCCCACUGCACCUCGGCAGACUUUCCCACUGCUGAGCUGGCCUUGUCCUUCUCUCCCCAAGCAGCUUUCUGAAACCACUCACUGAAACACUAAAUUGAAAUCAUUACUCUAGAAGCAUUCCACCAUCUUUCCUGGCAACACCAUCUGUUGUGCAAUGGAUUUAAGGUGUAUGAGAACAAGACAAUGAGAACAAUGAAAUGGCCCUGGUGUCAUGACAAAGUGACCCCACAUAGACAUCUGCACACAAGCCCUGGUGCUGAGGCUGUGCCCUACCCACUUCAGUGGAUGGAGCUCAGGAAUUUCACAGGAACUCUCUGUGGCACCAAGCCAUGCAGCCAGGGAUCCAGGAGACUUUAAUAAAGCUCAUAGGAAGAACUGAAAUCUUCACAAUCAGCCCUUCACCAUCCAGGAAUCAGCUGCUUCGGUCAUGAUCAUCAUUUCCAAAGAGGCAAAUCCCAGCAUGCAGCUCCAGAGUGACAGUCCCUGUGGAUGAGCCAGGAUACUGUCACCUCAGACCUCUGUCACCUCAGAGGCACAGACAAGUAGAACUGCCUUGGCUCCAAACAGUUCAUGUUUUGAAAGAUUCUGCCCAUCUUUUGAGCUGGAAAGUAAACUAUUUUGUCAGCAAAAGUUUUUAUUUCAAGUAAAUUAUGUGACAAAAUUUGAGUACAAA